GAGUUUGAUCCUGGCUCAGAUUGAACGCUGGCGGCAUGCCUUACACAUGCAAGUCGAACGGUAACAGGUUAAGCUGACGAGUGGCGAACGGGUGAGUAAUACAUCGGAACGUGCCCAGUCGUGGGGGAUAACUACUCGAAAGAGUAGCUAAUACCGCAUACGACCUGAGGGUGAAAGCGGGGGAUCGCAAGACCUCGCGCGAUUGGAGCGGCCGAUAUCAGAUUAGGUAGUUGGUGGGGUAAAAGCCCACCAAGCCAACGAUCUGUAGCUGGUCUGAGAGGACGACCAGCCACACUGGGACUGAGACACGGCCCAGACUCCUACGGGAGGCAGCAGUGGGGAAUUUUGGACAAUGGGCGCAAGCCUGAUCCAGCCAUGCCGCGUGCGGGAAGAAGGCCUUCGGGUUGUAAACCGCUUUUGUCAGGGAAGAAAAGGUUCUGGUUAAUACCUGGGACUCAUGACGGUACCUGAAGAAUAAGCACCGGCUAACUACGUGCCAGCAGCCGCGGUAAUACGUAGGGUGCAAGCGUUAAUCGGAAUUACUGGGCGUAAAGCGUGCGCAGCGGUUAUGCAAGACAGAGGUGAAAUCCCCGGGCUCACCCUGGGAACUGCCUUUGUGACUGCAUAGCUAGAGUACGGUAGAGGGGGAUGGAAUUCCGCGUGUAGCAGUGAAAUGCGUAGAUAUGCGAGGAACACCGAUGGCGA
rnacentral:rRNA from 1 species